rnacentral:sRNA from 1 species
GCCAGGUGUGGUGGUGCAUGCCUGUAAUCCCAGCGGCUCAGGGGCUGAGGCAGGAGAAUGGUAAGUUCGAGGCUAGCCUCAGCUACUAAGUGAGGACCUAAGCAACUUAGCAAGAGACCCUGUCUCAA